AAACCAACAGGGAUUGCCUCAGUAACGGCGAGUGAAGCGGCAAAAGCUCAAAUUUGAAAUCUAGCACUUUCAGUGUUCGAGUUGUAAUUUGAAGAAGGUAACUUUGGUUUUGGCUCUUGUCUAUGUUCCUUGGAACAGGACGUCACAGAGGGUGAGAAUCCCGUGCGAUGAGAUGCCCAAUUCCAUGUAAAGUGCUUUCGAAGAGUCGAGUUGUUUGGGAAUGCAGCUCUAAGUGGGUGGUAAAUUCCAUCUAAAGCUAAAUAUUGGCGAGAGACCGAUAGCGAACAAGUACAGUGAUGGAAAGAUGAAAAGAACUUUGAAAAGAGAGUGAAAAAGUACGUGAAAUUGUUGAAAGGGAAGGGCUUGAGAUCAGACUUGGUAUUUUGCGUUCCCUUCCUUUUUGGUUGGGUUCCUCGCAGUUUACUGGGCCAGCAUCGGUUUGGAUGGUAGGAUAAUGACAUUGGAAUGUAGCUUUACUUCGGUGAAGUGUUAUAGACUUUGUUGAUACUGCCUAUCUAGACCGAGGACUGCGUCUUGACUAGGA
rnacentral:rRNA from 1 species